rnacentral:rRNA from 1 species
AGAGAGCGGCGCACGGGUGCGGAACACGUGUGCAACCUGCCUUUAUCUGGGGGAUAGCCUUUCGAAAGGAAGAUUAAUACCCCAUAAUAUAUUAGAUGGCAUCAUUUGAUAUUGAAAACUCCGGUGGAUAGAGAUGGGCACGCGCAAGAUUAGAUAGUUGGUGAGGUAACGGCUCACCAAGUCAGUGAUCUUUAGGGGGCCUGAGAGGGUGAUCCCCCACACUGGUACUGAGACACGGACCAGACUCCUACGGGAGGCAGCAGUGAGGAAUAUUGGACAAUGGGUGAGAGCCUGAUCCAGCCAUCCCGCGUGAAGGACGACGGCCCUAUGGGUUGUAAACUUCUUUUGUAUAGGGAUAAACCUACUCUCGUGAGAGUAGCUGAAGGUACUAUACGAAUAAGCACCGGCUAACUCCGUGCCAGCAGCCGCGGUAAUACGGAGGGUGCAAGCGUUAUCCGGAUUUAUUGGGUUUAAAGGGUCCGUAGGCGGAUCUGUAAGUCAGUGGUGAAAUCUCAUAGCUUAACUAUGAAACUGCCAUUGAUACUGCAGGUCUUGAGUAAAUUUGAAGUGGCUGGAAUAAGUAGUGUAGCGGUGAAAUGCAUAGAUAUUACUUAGAACACCAAUUGCGAAGGCAGGUCACUAAGAUUUAACUGACGCUGAUGGACGAAAGCGUGGGGAGCGAACAGGAUUAGAUACCCUGGUAGUCCACGCCGUAAACGAUGCUAACUCGUUUUUGGGUUUUCGGAUUCAGAGACUAAGCGAAAGUGAUAAGUUAGCCACCUGGGGAGUACGUUCGCAAGAAUGAAACUCAAAGGAAUUGACGGGGGCCCGCACAAGCGGUGGAUUAUGUGGUUUAAUUCGAUGAUACGCGAGGAACCUUACCAAGACUUAAAUGGGAAAUGAC